rnacentral:lncRNA from 1 species
UAGAAUAAUUACAGCCUCUUUGAGAAAUGUUUGAGGCCUUGUAAGUGCAGCUAUCUUUGCCCAAAUUUGGGGAUAAGAGCUUAAGCCAAAAUAACACGAACCUCCACUCUUAACAGAGUAGAACCUUUUGGGGGGCGAGUAUUUCAGAAAUGAGAAAUUCAUAUGCAUCAGAGAGCGCAUUAGUACUUAGACAAUCCAAAAAGACCUGUUUUUAUAUCAUUUGACUUUUCUUCUUUCCUCCUGUAAUUACUUCAUUUCAGUGAAAUCACGCUGUAUUAUGAUUUAACAACUGGAACAGUCACUUAAGCAUUGAUAUUUUGCAAGCUCAUUUCUAAUGUUCCCACCCACAAUCUGGCCUAAAAAGGGAGAACAAUGAGAGAUCACUUAGGGGCCCAGAUAAACCACGUAGGAGUGCUCACUGGUCAGUUUUGCUGUUUGAAUCCUGCCCUGGUUAUCAGCUGCCAGUAUUUUGUCAGGAAACUCUAAGCUAGAAUAAUCCUGGGAUGAAGCAGGAAAGAGUUGCAAUUUUUAAAGCAUAGAGAAAUUGGCAUGGGGUGAAGAUGCUGUAACUACAGGUUGCAACCAUACUUCCUCUUUUAAAAUUGACUCUUUCCUUCCACAAUAUUGUAAGUAUAUUUCUUUCCCCAGCCACCUCCGGAUAAAAAGACAAAAAUGCCUCCCAAAGCUACAAGAUGAACCACAGAAUUCUAAUUGCUCCCAUGCUUCCUGAAGAUUUGAAAUUCCAGCCUGUGCCUCAUUCCCAUGCAGUUCUUAUUAACUCCAAACAUGGACCCUUCAAGGACAAUUUCUGUGAAGCUAAUUCUUUCAGUGAAGAAAAUACAAAGAGCUGACGUCUAACUUCUUAUGGGCCUGACUGUCAUUUAACAUCUCCUGGAGAAGAGUAGCGGGGUAGAGAUAGUACAAGCCUGCACAUCAAGAAACUUGAGGUAUUUGUUUUCAUUCUGCCUUUGACUGGUUGCAAGACCUUUGACAAUUCCCCCAAGUCAAGUCAUAAGAUGUUGUUUGUAAGAUGAGUAAAGAAAGGGUGCACUAUUUAAACAUACACACACAAUAUAAAUAUGUUUAAUUAUAAAUACUCAAUUAUUAGAAGGAUUGUACUGAAAUUGGCUUCUGUACUAGGGCUCUUAUAUACUAUAAGCAUUAAAGUUAUUCAUCUUAAAUAGAUGAGAUGAUUAAGAGACCCGGAGAUGUAAAGAGCUUCCAUCCUCAUACAGUGAUGCAGUUGCAAAUCAAACUCAGUAGUGUCUGGUUCCUAAUCCAUGUUCCUUCUACAAUAUUCCUUUAUCUAGGAUCAUCUGAAAUAUUUUACUAUAAAUAAAAUACAUUCAACUUUGAACAUGAA